UACCUGGUUGAUCCUGCCAGUAGUCAUAUGCUUGUCUCAAAGACUAAGCCAUGCAUGUCUAAGUAUAAGUUAUAUACAGCGAAACUGCGAAUGGCUCAUUAAAACAGUUAUAGUUUAUUUGACAAUCUAACUACAUGGAUACCCGUAGUAAUUCUAGAGCUAAUACAUGCUGUACACCGAACUUUUUGGGGAGGUGGUAUUUAUUAGAUAACAACCAAUAUUCCGAAGGUCUAUCGUGGUGAAUCAUAAUAACUGAUCGAAUCGCACAGCCUAUGGCUGCGAUAAGUCAUUCAAGUUUCUGCCCCAUCAGCUUUAGAUGGUAGUGUAUUGGACUACCAUGGCGUUCACGGGUAACGGAGGAUUAGGGUUCGAUUCCGGAGAGGGAGCCUGAGAAACGGCUACCACAUCUAAGGAAGGCAGCAGGCGCGUAAAUUACCCAAUCCUGACUCAGGGAGGUAGUGACAAGAAAUAGCAAGAAGUACUUUGUAUUUCAUUGAAAUGAGCCGAAUUUACACCACUUAGUGAGGAUCAAUUGGAGGGCAAGUCUGGUGCCAGCAGCCGCGGUAAUUCCAGCUCCAAUAGC
rnacentral:rRNA from 1 species